CCGACCGUUUGACCUUGUCAACAAACACACACACUUCCUGUUGGAUUACACGGCCUUCAUGAAUCCACCAGCAUUAGCAUCAACACCAUGCUAGCAGGCCAAACACAGUUUGCUCCUGACUGGCAUUUUGGUGUUUGGUUUGUCAAAUGAAGUGGAGGGCGAGUGAUGCAGAGAAAAUGCAAGACAUUGCUACAACCGUACGAUCAUCAUAACGGUUGGUUCACAACAUUCCCCAUCUCGUGUGUGACAUGGAGAGUCCGGUCAAAUUCUUUGAGUGGUGGUCACACCUUGAAGCCGAGUUCAGGAACAUAAAAAUCAUAACUAAAUACCACCAUUUCUUUGUUUCCAAAGAUAAUUUCGGUGUUUUUCCUUUUAAGGAGUAUGCUGACUCUACCAAGGAGUGUUUUGAUGCUUUGAAGUGUGCAAAAAAUAAGAAUGCCAUGCCUCCACUUAAGACCAUUCCAGGGCUCCCUUUAGCAAGACAGUGGCAUGUGUAUGAUCACAUUUCGAAUAAAUGUUGUAUAGGGAGUUGUGUGCAGUAAAGUAGUAUUACGUGUAUAUUUGCAUGUAUUGUUGAUUUGCCUGCAAUGAAUGGUUAAUUCUGUCAAUGUUGCAUUAUGAUGUCUUUAUUAUGUUAAUUUGCAUGCAUUUCAAGUAUAGCCCAUGUUGUGUAAUUUUUGUUUUUAAAAAAAUAUUUAAAAACCUGGUUCAUGUUUGGAAAUAAUCAAACAGUGAUACAUUGCAUCGUUUCUAAUUUGUUAGAUUAUUUAAUAACCAGUACAUUGUUAGAACCUCUUCUUUAUAUGAAUAAGUUAUUCAUUUGGUUCACUUAUAUAACUAUGUAAUUUGAUUACAUAUAUUUGGAGAUAAUAGUAUUAAUGUUAUUUAAACUGAAAUAAAGUAAUACACAUUGACUUUGCAAUGAUGUUUUUUCCAUUUGUCAUGUAUCAAUGUAAGUACAGGGUACAAUUUCAAUGUUACUAUUGUUGAACCAGCCUUUAUUUGAAGGCAAAUUUUUAUAUUGUACAAUGUUAAAAACAAAUGGUCACCAUGACGACCAGUUUUUUGCUUUAAAUUAUUGAAAGCUUUCAGUGGACUGGGUGUAUGGAUUUUGUGUAUUGACAUGUACUUUGUAUGCGAAAUGAUUUUAUAUAACAGUAUUUCACAUUAAGUACUUACAGUUUACAAUAAUUAGUUUUGAAAUGUCAAUAAUAAAAACAACUCAGUUCAUUUGUUUACUUUUAUGCAUUUCACAUAUAUUAUCAAUUUUGUACACAUUUCCUAUAAUUAUUCAUCAAGAUUAAUGUUACAAAUUUUAAGUUAUAUAUCUUUGUCUAAACAAAAUUAAUUUGGGGAUAAAAUACCAACAUUCAAAUAAUGGUAACCAUGGAAACCAUUUUAAAUUUAAAAAAAAGAUGCUUUUAACAAACAAUGUGUUUAUAUUCAAACAUGUGUUUUUAUGAAAACUUGUUUAAACUAGUUUACUUGUGUAUACUGUUACUUGAAUAAUGCUUAAAAUGAUUAGUAUGUGAGCAAUAAAAACAAACUCAUUUUA